rnacentral:rRNA from 1 species
CCUACGGGGGGCAGCAGUGAGGAAUAUUGGUCAAUGGACGAGAGUCUGAACCAGCCAAGUAGCGUGAAGGAUGACUGCCCUAUGGGUUGUAAACUUCUUUUAUAUGGGAAUAAAAUGUUCCACGUGUGGGAUUUUGUAUGUACCAUACGAAUAAGGAUCGGCUAACUCCGUGCCAGCAGCCGCGGUAAUACGGAGGAUCCGAGCGUUAUCCGGAUUUAUUGGGUUUAAAGGGAGCGUAGGUGGUUUGUUAAGUCAGUUGUGAAAGUUUGCGGCUCAACCGUAAAAUUGCAGUUGAAACUGGCAGUCUUGAGUACAGUAGAGGUGGGCGGAAUUCGUGGUGUAGCGGUGAAAUGCUUAGAUAUCACGAAGAACUCCGAUUGCGAAGGCAGUUCACUGGACUGCAACUGACACUGAGGCUCGAAAGUGUGGGUAUCAAACAGGAUUAGAUACCCGAGUAGUC